rnacentral:rRNA from 1 species
UACGUAGGGGGCAAGCGUUGUCCGGAUUUAUUGGGCGUAAAGAGCGUGUAGGCGGCCAGACAGGUCAGCUGUGAAAACUCGAGGCUCAACCUCGAGACGUCGGUUGAAACCGUCUGGCUAGAGUCCGGAAGAGGAGAGUGGAAUUCCCGGUGUAGCGGUGAAAUGCGCAGAUAUCGGGAAGAACACCCGUGGCGAAGGCGGUUCUCUGGGCAUUACCUGACGCUGAGGAGCGAAAGUGUGGGGAGCGAACAGG